rnacentral:SRP_RNA from 1 species
GGCGAUCCCCCGUGCGACGGCAUCACCCGAACCUCCCCAGGGCCGGAAGGCAGCAAGGAUACGGUCGCUCUGUCGGGUGCGCGGGGGAUCACUUAU